CGCACACACUGCCUGCUGCUUCACCUCGAGGGCUGGCACACACGCACACACAUACGCACACACGCCAGCGCUGUCGUCGCCAUGAGCACCGAUCCGAAUGGCACUCGCUGGUCAAACUCCGAGAAGAACUUCGGAAAAGCGCUGCUGAAGAAGUCGGGGUGGACAGAGGGCGCCGGCCUCGGCAGGGGGCAGGAUGGCGUCGUCGAUCACAUCAAGGUAACCCGCAAGGAUGGCGUGAUGGGGCUCGGCUAUCAGGCUGGGGUGCAGGAGACGUGGACGACGCAGUCACUCGGCUUCGCCGACGUCCUCACACGCAUCAAGGCGUCCACUACCGCCGCCAUCAGCGACUCAGACGACGACGGUGAGGCGUCGCGGUCGUCCUCGCCGACGACCAACGGGGAGGCGAAGAAGAUCGGCAUGAGCCGCCACUACAAGAUGUACGCCAGACGCAACGCCCUGAAGACGGAGCUCAUCCACGGUGGCGACAGCGCCGAAACGGAGGCGAAACGGCUGGAGAUUCUCGGCAGCGCGGCGAUGAAGCGUCGGCGCGACGCGGACAGCGACGACGAUAACGACGGAGCGGGUCGGAAUUGCAGCCAGAGCACGUCCUCCGCCUCCACGCUCAAAUCGCCACUGCUGCUUCGGCUUAUGGCACGCAGCUCCAAGGACGAGCCGAAGCCGACGGCGGGCGACAUGACACCGGCGCAGCUCAUCACCGUAACAAAGCCGCAUCCGCGGCCUCCAAAAUGCACGGAUACGCCGUUCCUUGCCUAAUGAUGGCGGUGGCGAUGGUGGUGGUGGUGGCGAGCCCGAUGGCGUGGCUGUGAGACAUCAUGCGUUGCGAAGGGGCGGACUGCUGUGGGCGUGCGCGCGCGCUCUUUGCCUUCAUCUAGCCUUCUCUCUCCACACUCUCCCCGUGCGAUGCCGCUGCGUGUUGGCGGUCGUGGCGAACACGACGACACUGAGUCGUUUAAAGCACUCGGAAUGGAAAGGCGAGGUGGCGUCGAGCUGCCGCGGCAGCGGUGCGGAUGCCCCGUGGCGCGCCCGCCUUCCUCUCUUCCACCCACUCACCACACAUACACACACAAACACACACAUACCCAUCCAUCUUCUCUGAGCAGAGGCAGUAGAGAGCGCUUGUGGCGAGAGGUUUGUGAGUCUCUUGAGCGCGUGCCACGAGCACCACCCCCACCACUCUGUCUCUGCGCGUGUUGUGUGUGUGUGUGUGUCUCAUGCAUAAGCGGGAGAGCCGCGCCACCCCUUUGCUCCUCGAUUCCUUCAUCAACGCCUGCGCAUGUGGGCGCGUGGCAGAGGGGGGGGGGAUUGCUGCACGUAAGAUGCGCGUAACAAGCCCCGCAACAAG
rnacentral:misc_RNA from 1 species